rnacentral:rRNA from 1 species
GACGAACGCUGGCGGCGUGCCUAAUACAUGCAAGUUGAGCGCUGAAGGUUGGUACUUGUACCAACUGGAUGAGCAGCGAACGGGUGAGUAACGCGUGGGGAAUCUGCCUUUGAGCGGGGGACAACAUUUGGAAACGAAUGCUAAUACCGCAUAAAAACUUUAAACACAAGUUUUAAGUCUGAAAGAUGCAAUUGCAUCACUCAAAGAUGAUCCCGCGUUGUAUUAGCUAGUUGGUGAGGUAAAGGCUCACCAAGGCGAUGAUACAUAGCCGACCUGAGAGGGUGAUCGGCCACAUUGGGACUGAGACACGGCCCAAACUCCUACGGGAGGCAGCAGUAGGGAAUCUUCGGCAAUGGACGAAAGUCUGACCGAGCAACGCCGCGUGAGUGAAGAAGGGUUUCGGAUCGUAAAACUCUGUUGGUAGAGAAGAACGUUGGUGAGAGUGGAAAGCUCAUCAAGUGACGGUAACUACCCAGAAAGGGACGGCUAACUACGUG